CGUUUGAGAUUUGAGAGGGGCUGACCUUAGUACGAGAGGACCGGGUUGGACGAACCUCUGGUGUUCCGGUUGUCACGCCAGUGGCAUCGCCGGGUAGCUACGUUCGGAAAAGAUAACCGCUGAAAGCAUCUAAGCGGGAAACUUGCCUCAAGAUGAGAUCUCACUGGAGCCUUGAGCUCCCUAAAGGGCCGUCGAAGACUACGACGUUGAUAGGUGGGGUGUGUAAGCGCUGUGAGGCGUUGAGCUAACCCAUACUAAUUGCCCGUGAGGCUUGACCAUAUAACACCCAAACA
rnacentral:rRNA from 1 species